rnacentral:rRNA from 1 species
GACGAACGCUGGCGGCGUGCUUAACACAUGCAAGUCGAACGGAAAGGCCCUGCUUUUGUGGGGUGCUCGAGUGGCGAACGGGUGAGUAACACGUGAGUAACCUGCCCUUGACUUUGGGAUAACUUCAGGAAACUGGGGCUAAUACCGGAUAGGAGCUCCUGCUGCAUGGUGGGGGUUGGAAAGUUUCGGCGGUUGGGGAUGGACUCGCGGCUUAUCAGCUUGUUGGUGGGGUAGUGGCUUACCAAGGCUUUGACGGGUAGCCGGCCUGAGAGGGUGACCGGCCACAUUGGGACUGAGAUACGGCCCAGACUCCUACGGGAGGCAGCAGUGGGGAAUAUUGCACAAUGGGCGGAAGCCUGAUGCAGCAACGCCGCGUGCGGGAUGACGGCCUUCGGGUUGUAAACCGCUUUCGCCUGUGACGAAGCGUGUGUGACGGUAAUGGGUAAAGAAGCACCGGCUAACUAC